AGAGAGAGAGAGAGUGUAACCACUUUCUAAUUAUUUAACUUUGUUUGAUGUUAAAUUAUAUAUAUUAAAAAAAAAUGUUAAUGAUAGAUUUUAAAAAUUUGCUCCAAAUGACUUUUGGGAUAACAUUGUGGGAGCUUAUUAUGUACACACACACACACACGGCCAAGACGGCGGACGGACACAGCUGCUGAACUCCCGACGCGUCGUCAUACUUAUACGAUCAGCUGCGCGGGAACUAAACCCUAGACGUGGAAAUUAAGGUGUGUGUUAAUGCUGGGACCAAAAAGAAGAAAAAGAAGAAGAAGAAGAAGGAGAAGAGGAGGAGGAGGAGGAGGAGAAGGAAGAAGAUGAUUAAGGCAACAGGAAGAUCAGAAGUGGAAGAGGAGGAAGUAAAGAAAAACAGCACACACACACACACACACAGGGUGGCGAGCGGAGUGGAGCAUUUGGACAGAGAGGACCUGUGUGUGUGGAAUGAGAGAGAAACGAGAGGACAUGGAAAGAAGUUCAGGGCGACCACAUGUAGGCGAGAUGUGAAAAAGUUUAGCUUCCCAAACAGAAGCAUUGAGCUAUGGAAUAGGCUGGAGGAGGAGGUGGUUUGUGCAAGAAACAUUCAUGAUUUUAAGGAAAACUUGGACAAGAGCUGAUAUGGAGACAGGACAGCGCGAGUAGCUCUUUUCCCGUAUGCCACAACUAGGUAAACACACACACACACAGGCACAUAAGACAAACACCUAUUUUUUUUAUUUUUUUAUUAUUCCAUAUAACAAACACAUAUACAUACAUAGUCAUAUUAUACAACAUAUGCAUAACUAUAUACAUUAGAUCAUAGAGAGAGUGAAAGAGAGACUCGAGAGGUGAGAAAGAGAUAUACAACAUAUGCAUAAUUACAUACAUCAGAUCAUAGAGAGAGUGAAAGAGAGACUUGAGAGGUGAGAAAGAGAGAGAGGUGCCUCUCUCUCUCUCUCUCUCUCUCUCUCUCUCUCUCUCUCUCUCUCUCUCUCACCACACCACAGCCUACAGGACCCCACAGAUGGACCCCCCACAGUAUGUUGACAACCCCCCACAGACACAUAAAGGACCUCCUCCCCCUUCCCAUUAGCCAACAUAGCACCCACAUAGCCUUAUCAAUGUUACUAUGUGUAUAUUUAUGUAUGUAUAUGUGUGUUUUUCUAUUAAUAAAAAAGUUAAGUUGUAAUGUGUGUGUUAUAUUCCUAUGUGAGAGAGAGAGUGUGUUAGACGGUAAGGUAAUAAUAAUAAUAGUAAUAUGCCUUAACUAACUUACUGACUAAGCUGUAAAAAAGAA